GAAUCCUUUGCCAUUUUUAUAGUCUUAGCAGCAAGUGUACUGCAUAGACGCUCGACAGACCAUCUCCAUUGACUUCUGUGAAGGAUUUAAUUUACCAACAGGGAUUUCUUUUUUGUUGACUCUAUAUUUUUUGUGAGAAGUCCUUAAGUACAUGAAUUUGUCUCUCUGUUGCUUGGACUUAGUGUCAGGGCAGUUAUAUAACAUUUUGUGGGUUUGGAGAUGGAGAUAUAUUGGGUCCAGUAUUAUGCUAUGGUUGGGUUUAAAACAUAAACUGUGUAAAAUCCGGCCACUAACAGAAUUUACAGUUAGCACAUCUAAAUCCCUGGGCACCCCAUGGUACAUGAGACUUGGGAUUUUUAAGGAGCCUUUCAGGUGAUUAGGAUGUGCACUAUCAAUUAGGAAUCAAUAGAUAAGGUCCAGGGUGAUUAAUAUGAAACUGUAACAUGAACCCAUGUCCCAUGUCAGAAACACUGCAGGACUCCUGCUGCCUGGACCUUAACUCUUAUUAUCGCCCUCUUUAGUGUUAAGAGUAUACAUGUAUGAGAGAGAAAAUAAUUCUGUGCUACAGGCCUGGGUUAGAAAAUAGACAUGCUAAUAGAUAGCAUGUGUCAGGCUAAGAAGACACAUUACUUCCCCCAGUGUCUUCAUCCUCAUCAGGAUUCUUCCAUGCAGAGGAUGGAGGAUUUUGUUCCAGAAUCUAUGUCUAUAGUUCUAGUUUGCUAUUCUCUCCAGUUACUUUUUGAAACAGUCUUGGUCUCCUUGUCUUUAGGGAUGUGGGACUCCCACCCGGGGAGGCUGUGGUACUUUGCUGCUGUGAUGCAGCUGAUGGUUAGGUUGGCAGAAGUCCCAAAGGACACCUGUUGCCUCUCCACAGAUCUUUCUUUUUUUAAAGCGUGUACUCUGCCUGGCUUUUUACCUAAGACAAAUUCCACCACCAGUGAUUCACAGGGCACAGAUAAUUGAAAGUAGGCUUUAGACAUUGUAAAAAAUUUUUAAAAAUUAAAAAAGGAAAAGGAAGUGCUAUUCUGUGGUGAGGCUUUUGUUUCUGUAGAGUUUUUGUUUCUAUUUGUGGACUGGCCAUUAGCCUGAGAAGCAGCCCAAAGAGGCUAAACUGUAGGAAAAAAAUCAAGAAGCUUUCAGAGGCCAUUCAGAAGAUAACUAAGCACAUCAAAGAUUCCCCAAGCUAGCAAGCAGGAGAAAGCAGCAAUGCCAAUUUGCCAAUCUACCCCAAUAAUUCCUACAGUUAUCAUCCAUGUGAAAUAAUUGGGUUUUUCUCAAUUCCCAAAUACUGAUUCCAAACAUGUUGAACAAACCUCAUCACAAGAUAAAUUGGAAAUUCCUUUUUUAACCUUUGGAAAACCAAAAAUCUAGAUGUUUCUGACAAUUAAGGAAAAACGUUAAGGUGCUUUUGCCCUUAGUCUCAUUCUCCUACUAAAUUGGGUUUAGAUGCUCUACAAAUUGGAGAAUUUCACCAGAUUUAUUACACGAUCAUCCUAAUUGUCAAAAAUCUAGAAAGUUUGAAAUUAGAUUAUUUAAACAUUUUUUUCCCCAAAGGUACGUGUUUCAUUUCAAAAUAUUUUUAACAUUUCCAGCUCUACUUAAAAUUGAAUUUGGUUGACUUUUUUCUUUCUUCUGGGAUUUAAAAGAGAAAUAUUUGCUGUGUGUCAAGAGAAAGGUCAUCAUGUAGAUCAUGCUUUAUUUGCAAGCCUACACAUAAUUCAAAAUGAGAUGAUGAUGGACUUUGCAUCAGCGUUAAAAGCAAACUGGUAGUGCAAAUAUAGCAAAAUCCUCAAUAAUACUGAGAGGAGGGAGACAACCAAAGCAAUUUUAAAACAAGAUGAUUGUUGAUUUAUUUUAUUUAAUAAGCUAUAACGUAUUGAGUGCUUACAAUGUGUUAGAUUCUCUAAGGCUGAACUUUUUAAACUGGGCUCUACAUACUAGUGGGAUAAUGAGAUUAUGUACUAGGGUGAUUUGAUGAGGCAUAGAAAACAAGGUGCAUGUUCUGAUGAAGUAAAACUAAGAUUAGGUGCUAGAAAACCUGGGUUCAGAUUCUAGCCCCUCUAUUCAGUGGAGAAACUUGGGGAAUGUCUUUCUUCUCCUCUCUGGAGCUCAGUGUCCUAAAUCUUUUAUGUGUACACACAUAUACUCUAUUUGACUAUUGAUUUCUACUUUCUCAUGAAGAAAUUGCUUUUUCAGCUUAUUUGUAUUCUUCCUUUACUUCGUCCUUUUUAGACUUGAUGUCUAUAGAAAAUAAAACAGGGUGGUCAUAAUUACAUUAAUUUUUAAAGACCCAGUGUGGAUUUGAGCUAGCUUUUUAAAGUUUUAUUGAAGUAUAGUUGAUUUACAAGGUUGUGAUCAUUCCUGCUGUCCUAUUAAGUGAUUAAGUUAUACAUGUACCCACAUUCUUCUCUUUCAGAUUCUUUUUCCACAUAGAUUAUCACAAAACAUUGGGUGGCGUUUUCUGUGCUAUAGAGCAGGUCCCCGUUGGCCAGUCAUUCUAUGGCUUCUUAAAGCUAUGAGUUGUGUGACUGAAUUUGUUGGAUCUGUAGCUGGGUUGAGCAGUUGAACUGGGUUGAUCAAUUAAUUUGGUUCCCUGUGAGAAAGCACUAAGACUGGGGUGGGGGGAGAUACUUGCUGAGAGUUUGUAGAUUGCAUGAUAGUGACCACAUAUGAACCCAGGUAUGUCUGAACCAUUGGGUGGUUGCAGUGGCCUUGAGAAAAAAAGCUUGGCUCUUGGGUGUCUAGAGACUUGGAUUUCAAUCCUGAUUCCUACCCCAAUUCCUUGUGUGAGUUGAGUUGGUCACUUUGUUUCUCUGCCCUUAUUUCUUCAUCUGUGAGAUAAGGGCUGGGGUCAGAGGGAAGGCUUCUUUUAUCUAUGGAAUUGUGAGAACCAGCAUUUGUGAGAUGUUUGUGUAAGGACUCCAGUGAUUAUGUUCUGUUUAAGGAUUCGUGGUUGGUGCCUUGGGCUCUCUUAUUUCUUUGGUUAACUUGGUGGCAUUUUUGCUCAUCAGAUGAUACAUUAUCUUUUUUGUAAUUUUUUUUCACCCACCUCAUGUGUCUUUACAAGCAAGAUUAGUUUAUUUAGACGUCAAUUAUAUGCAAAGUUGAUUUAGUGGAUUUUGUUUCCUCCCUCUCUCCCAACCCUAACCAGCAUUCUCCCCCACCCUAAAAAAAAAGGAAGACAGAGGUAUUGCCAAGGAGUCCAAGGCCUGAGCGUUUUACUGACAUUAUAGAAAGGACAUUUGAUUUUCUUUUAGUUCAUAGUCAUUAGUAACAUAUUACUAAAAAAAUAAUUGCGCUCAGUUCAUCAUUGUUUUCAAACAGUUAAAAAACCUUUUCUCUCUUCUGAUGUUUGAUUGGCUACCCAUCAUUUUUGAUACAAGAAGCUGUUUUUACUUCCAGAUAAAAGUUAUCCAGAGUCUAAUGGUUUCAUGAUUAAUAAGCUGAAUUUCUUGGUUGUGCAGAGAAUACAGUUUAGUGAUGGGAUAGACUAUUUUCCAGCCAUUAAUAUGUCAUGAACAUGAGUUAUAAUCAGAAAUACUUGUGAUAUAAUCACGAUAAUUAUAAAAAAAUAGAGAUUUAGUUAUCUGCAGUGAUUACAAUAGUGUAAAAUGUGUGUGUCCAUGGACAAAGACUAGCUCGUAAUAUGUGAAAGUGGCAGAUUUGGGUAAUGAUGAUUGUAUGGGGAGGAUUUUUUCCCUUUUCACAUCUUUCACUGAUAAUUUUAUUAUAUUUUUUCCAUGAAGCACUAGUAUUCUAGGAGUUGGGCUCAGUUAUAAACUUUAUAAAUGAAUCUACCUAAACUGAACUAAAGCAAAGAUCUUCCUGCUUGAUGGUUUCAUGCUUUAUUCCUGUGAGACACUGAAAAGACAUUUGAAGUGAUAACUGAGCCUUUUGAAAUUAUGCUUAUAUAGCUUGUACUGUGUAGUGGGCACUGUGCUUUACCUGUAGUGACUCGCAUAGUCCCAACAGCCCAAUGAGGGCGGCAUCGCUGCUAUCCCCGUUUUAGGGAGUAGAAAAUCCUGGCAUAGGGAUGUUAAGUGACUUGACCAGGUCACAUAGCUUAUACGUUGCAGACAGGCUUCAGCGUCCACGAGCUUAACCAUGGCUGAACCUCUAAGGCACACCUUGCUCUGGUCUGGUAAGUCAAUGAACAGAGCUUCCUUUGUUACUGAAAACUAGUCUAGCUGUAUACAAAGGCAUAAAAAUGUACAGUUUAUCAGCCUUCAGGAUGCUGACCUCUGCAGGCUCUGGCUCUCCCAAGCCGUGGAUCAGUAAGAGCCAGACUUGGGGACGCAUGAAGAAUUGCUGCCUGCUACCAGGUGGCCAUGAAAAUCACCUGCUGCUCUUGUGCUCCUGAGGUGGUUUCCCAGUCCAGGGGCUCACGUCAGCAUGGGGUCUCACCUUCCCUCUCUCUCCUCAUCUUGAACAGCUGUCCUGCUUAUCUGGGAAGUUCAGUGAUAUGGUAGAAAGAUUAUAAGGCUCGAAUGAGGGACACAGCUACCAACUUGUUCGUCACCGUCAUUUGGGCAAGAUUUAUCUCUGUGUCUUUGCCUCCUCAUUUGUACAAUGGCUCUUUCAAGAUGACCAGGACAAGUAACAUAUAUCACGAAUUAUAAUAUAGCCAAUAAAUGUACAUUAACAUUCUAUAAAAUAUAUACAACACUGUAUCUAGGAGUUCCCGUUGUGGCUCAGUGGUUAACGAAUUCGAUUAGGAACCAUGAGGUUGUGGGUUCGAUCCCUGGCCUUGCUCAGUGGGUUAAGGAUCUGACACUGCUGUGAGCUGUGGUAUAGGUUGCAGAUGCAGCUUGGAUCCUGCGUUGCUGUGGCUCUGGUGUAGGCCGGCAGCUACAGCUCUGAUUUGACCCCUAGCCUGGGAACCUCCAUAUGCAGUGGGAGUGGCCCUAGAAGAGGCAAAAAGACAAAACAAAACAAAACAGUAUAUCUAAUAAAUAUGUAUAUGUAUUUUUUAUAUUUCUAUAAUGAACCAAGUAUAAAAUCAGUACUUCAUGUUAACAGCUGCUGCUCUUGUGAUUAUUCUCCAGCCCUCGGGCUUGCUGCUUCCUCUUUUCCUGUGUGGGGCUAGAUUCUUGCCUCAAACUCCUCACUAUCUCAUUAGCCCUUGGCAUGGAGCUGGAGGCAGCUUUCGGUGUUCUCCACGCCGCAGCACAGGAACAUUCCUGACACAGGACCGGACUCCUGCCUGCUAUUGGCCACCACGGCCUUUCUUCCUCUCCCUACCCAUUCUUCCUUUCCCCACUGUGGCCCCUCCUCCCUACCUUGACACCAGCUAUGCUUGGUCGAGAACUGGUCCCAUCCUGCAUCCUUUUCUUUAGACUGCUGACCCUUGCUGCUCCAUUCGUUUUUCCUUCAUUCUGUCGAGUUCUAGUUCACUCAUUUUUUGCCCCUGGUUAGAACCACCAGAGUGCCAUGCAACUGUGCUAUGUGGUUUAAAACAGUAGUUUUUAAGACCUACUGGUUUAAGUCAUGCUAUAAAGAGUAGUGACAGAAAUAAGAGAAAUCCACUAAUUUUUCUGGUCAGAGUUUUACUUAUUUGCUCCCAUUCUGUGGCCUAAAAUGAAGUUGCAUUUCCUCAGAAGAGAGAACUUGCCUGUUGUGAUAGCAAUGUUGACCUGUCGGUUAGGUCCAGGGAACAUCCCAUUAUUCAGGGCAGAUUAGUGAGAACAAUUUUCUGCCCAGUUGUACCUAGUCAGGGGUUUUCAGCCAUAAGAAUUUAUUAUAGUAACUUGUAGUCUUGUUGAAAGCUUGGAUUUCUGGGUCUCCCUCUAAUAGUUUCUGAUUCAGUGGGUCUGAUGCUGCUAGUCAAGGGAUCACUUUGCGAACCCCUGGUGUAAACAACCCUAGUCUCAGAUUCUCUUGUACUUUGGUGUCAUAUCUAGAAAUAAGUGUGCAUUUUAUUGAUCAUUGGGGAAUAUUAUAAUAAUAUUCCUGGGGUAGCAUUCACAUGAGGGAACUCUUUAGCUUAAAAGAGUAAACAAGAUCACAACUAGAAAAUCACCUCAGUAUCACUCUACUACACACUGGUUAAUACCAAGAUCCAAGAUCAUAUGAGUAAUGUAUGCAAAUAACACAUGUUUAGAUUUAUCCAUUUAUCUGUAUGCAAAUAACACAUGUUUAGAUUUAUCCAUUUAUCUGUAUGCAAAUAACACAUGUUUAGAUUUAUCCAUUUAUCUGUAUGCAAAUAACACAUGUUUAGAUUUAUCCAUUUAUCUGUAUGCAAAUAACACAUGUUUAGAUUUAUCCAUUUAUCUGUAUGCAAAUAACACAUGUUUAGAUUUAUCCAUUUAUCUGUAUGCAAAUAACACAUGUUUAGAUUUAUCCACUUAUCUGUAUGCAAAUAACACGUUUAGAUUUAUCCAUUUAUCUGUAUACAAAUAUCAUACAGAUUUAUCCAUUUAUCUGUACCAUGCACAUUGCUGGGCAUCAGGAGUAGAAAUGAAAAAAAAAA
rnacentral:lncRNA from 1 species